AAGGAAGAGAGGUGGCCACUUGGGCUUGUUUGGAUAAGAUUAGCGUCCGGAGCUGCAGAUGUCAUUGGCUCUCCAUUCCUCCUCUAAAUCAAAUGAUAUAUAUGGGAAAGUGAAGGAAUGGCCGGACAGAACUUAUAAGCUCAAUAAAAAUGGCAGCCCAAGUGGCUUUCUCUUCUUCCCUUACCACCCAAAUACCUGUCCUGCUCCAUUUAUCUCCAUCAUCUCCCUUAAUUAGUUCAGCAAAGAAAAGGGUUCAUCAUUUCAAAAUCCAUGCAAUUGGUGGAGGAGAUGGAGAACUAAAACCAAAAGGGAAGAAGAAAUUUAUAACCAGAGAAGAAGAACCUGAACAGUAUUGGCAAACAGCAGGAGAAAGGAAAGGAGAGAACCCCAUGAAGACACCUCUUCCGUACAUCAUCAUAUUUGGCAUGUCAACUCCAUUUGUGAUCUUAGCCAUUGCUUUUGCUAAUGGUUGGAUUAAGGUACCGGUCCGAUGAUUUGUUCAGAGAUGCAGCAACAAUGGCAGCUAAAUCAGUGUUUGAAAGUUGGAUGGUUUCAGUUUAUCCAUUCAUUUCAGUUCUAAGCAUCUAUUUGUACACUACUUAUGAAUGCUCAUCUUGUGCAUACCACAAGCAUAUUACAAUUCAAUGACAAUCAAAUCAUGAGCUUUUUCUGUAACAGGUAACUAAAGUCUGCCAAAUAUAUGAGCAGAUCACAUCUGCAAUUUUUUUUUCCCAGUAGCUUAAAGUGUCUACAUGUUAAUUCCCAUCUAUGCUAAUUUAGUAUAUUUCUUCAUCUUUGAAGCCUUUUAUGGGAACUGAAGCUUACAAUUGCAAAAAAGAGCAGAAAGUAUAUCAUGUUCAAAAUCAAUAGCAAUUGAAUAUGGAAGUUUGCUGCAAAUACUCAAACCUUUUCCUAGGCUUACCUUUUUUUCUACUAUUUCCACUAACUUUAAUCUUAACAAUGUCUGUUGUGUAAAAUAAAUCCACCUACGACAUUAAAAGAAUAUGCUAUUACUUUUUCUUUUAUUGCCGUGUGGGCUUGUAUAGUACUACUGUCACAUACUUCUGAAGAAAGCGAUGAGUUGAUCCAAGUGCAACAGGCUGACCUCGAUUAUUCUGAAUAUAAAGAUGGUUCAACACUGAAGGACUAGGCCUUGGCAGUGACUGGUGACUUUCCACAGCAGAUCGGUGGUUCAACAAUGUUAAUUGAAGUUGUGGAGGUAUAUCAGGAGGCUGUUUACUGAAAUCAUUGUCAUCCAAGGACUCGUUAUCGUAGCUUGUCACUGGGGAUGAAGGAGUUUCAAACUCAGAAAGGCUUUCUGGAGCUUCUGGAAUAUCCUCCUGUACAGUAGAUUGUAACGAUUAAAACAAAUUAAAUAAGUAUAUAAUGAUAUGAACGUAUGAAGAACCAUUAAGCCUGCAGUGGAGCUGCAACUAGAAGAAGGGCUGCAAGAGUUCGUGUUAUCAUGCACAAAAUUCAUAAUGAAAAACUUGAUUCUGAGAAAUUUCUAAGUUAUAGUAGCUCUUGAAAUAAAUAGAAUUGCCACUGCUAUAACCUAUGUUGGUUGCAUAUUUGCGAUACAAGAAACACAGAGUACGAGACAAUGAUUACAAAAGGAAGGAAUUUAUACUCUAAUAGCAACCUACUCACCAUCCCUCAACUUUAAAGUUUAUUCUAUUUUCAUCGAUUAACUUUAUUUUAUUGCAUAAAAAUUUCUAAACUCUUAUUUUGAUUCAAUAAAGUCCUUUACUUGUUUUACCUAUUUCAGCCGCUUACUCAACCCCUUUCCCCUCUCUCUUUCAAUCCAGUUCUUUAUUUCUCCCACUUUCUCGUCUUCUUUCUCUCUACCCAUCUCUCUGUCUCCAAUCGCAAGCCACAAUGCAUUCUCCUCUUUUGCUCCUAUCAUCACCCAUAACCCCGUUCCACUGCCUCCUAUAGCGAUCAACCUCAUCCCUGCAAAAUCACAGCGUUGAAGAUUUCUUGCCAUCCUCUACUCCUCUGCCCUUCCUCACAAAAAAUUACAGCAUUGAAGAUAUCUUUGUUAUGCUGUUGUUCGAUUUGAUGAAACAUGUGGCUGUGGCUAUGAUGGAGUGGAGAUUUACAAGGAAACUUGAGUAGUUUUGAAGAUUUUCUAGUGUAAUUAAUAAUUUAGACCAUAUGUUUUGAGGAAUUUGUGUUUUAGACUAUGAUGGCAAUCUUAUUAAGGCGAGAGGCAACAAAAUACCCUAUGACUUUAACCGAAAGGUAAGACGAGAGCCUUUUUGAAGUGAGACACCAUACACACACACUUUUAACAUAAAAUAUCAUAAUUUUAAUUAGUUUAAUAUGUAAAAAAGCAUAUUGAAAAUAAGAGAAAAUUAUUUGCACUAGAUAUAAUAUAAGAGGAAUAAAAAGUAGAAAACAAUGUUAUAAAAAGGAAAUGAAAUUUA
rnacentral:misc_RNA from 1 species